rnacentral:rRNA from 1 species
UACGGGGGGAGCAAGCGUUGUUCGGAUUUACUGGGCGUAAAGGGCGGGUAGGCGGCCACCGCAAGUCGACUGUGAAAUCUCCGGGCUUAACCCGGAAAGGUCAGCCGAUACUGCGGGGCUAGAGUGCAGAAGGGGCAACUGGAAUUCUCGGUGUAGCGGUGAAAUGCGUAGAUAUCGAGAGGAACACCUGCGGCGAAGGCGGGUUGCUGGGCUGACACUGACGCUGAUGCGCGAAAGCUAGGGGAGCGAACGGG